CAGAAGCAGGAUCACAGAGCAGCCCAUCCACUCCUGGCUGAAGACUUAAUUACUAACACACACAUGUAUACAAACUAUAGGGCUGGGGAGAAUGAGCAGAAUCGCAAAGAUAAUCACAUACCAGAAGAAUGAUAAAAAAAACUCUCACAUUUACCUUUCAAGGCAUUUAAAUGAAAUGAGUAGCUCUGGGGAAAAAAAAAAAAAAAAAAGAUACUGCGGGAAGUUCAGUUAGAAGAAAAUCAGGGAUGGCCAGGAAUCUAGGAAAAAUCGAAGAAGGUUAAAACGGAGAGAGAGAGCCAGGUUGGCAGAUGUGAAGGGGACGAUAUGAAGAGUGCAAGAGAAAGGACAGAGAGGAGGCAGCAGCGACCCGGGAGAGGAGAAAGGAGGGGAGGGAAGGAUGGAUGAAAGCGAGCAAGGAAAGAAGCAAGGAGGCAGGCAGCGUUAGGCAGAUCCAUUCAGAACUAAAUGCACGUCCUUUGAAAUAUCUCUACCAUAUUCAUGAUUUGUCACUACACAUUGUUUUCUUUGACUUGAUGUCUUCAGCUGCAGAAAUACACCCCCCACCCCCAUACAUUUCUACAGACUAUGGACUAACAGCAAUCCUCUACUAUGUUAAAUGUUUAUUUCUUUAUCUUUAUUAUUUCUGAUUUGACUGUCUUGGAUAUAUCUUUCAUUUAGUUUACAAUUUUAUUACAUAAUCUGAGCAUCUGAACCUUUAUUAAAAUGAUAUAAUCAUUGCAAAAAUAGACAUUUUAUUCAUUGUCACCCAAUGUCAUAACCUAGUUGUACCACUAACCACUGUAUAUGAAUUAUUUUUCUGAAAUGAUAUACUAGAUUAUUUUUAAUAAUAUUAUUUUACAAUAUAAAGGUUGUUACUGCUUAUAAUUUUUCAAAAUUUCUAUCUAUAAAUCUAUCCCUUUUUUGGCCAUUAUUCUGUGUUAAUUUUUUCUUUUUUUUUUUGUUUAAUUUCAUAUCUCAUUCAUUUUUUUCAUUCUAAUCCCAGGUUAUCUAUUUUGAUUUACUGAGAUCUAUCAUAAAUUACCAUUCCACUUCCCAAUGCUGUCUGAGACUGAUGCACUUGUAAAAACCACUGAACUUACCGUGAGAAUAUGAGGCAGAGGGAAUAGAUGGUAAUAAGUGAUGCAGAAAUCACUGCAGAAGUUCCACAAAUCUGCAUCUUGGUGGAGCGGGUUUAUCGGAAUGACCUAGCUCAUAUCGAACUGUUUAGGCUGUGAGGUUUAUUGGAAAUGUACAUGUGUGCUUCUGAAUACCUGUCUUUUGGUUUAUAAAACAAUUGUAAAUAAAGAAACAUAACUCAAA